UUCUUAUUUGAAUAAAGGUGUAGAGGUUUUGACCCAAUUAUUGGUGGAAAAGCAUCUUCUACUUUUCAUACUCCCUCUGAUAUUAGUUGUUUGGGUUAUUGAGAAACGGGUUUUCUCUUUCUCCAAUUGGGUUCCUCUUGUGGUCACUGUCUGGGCAACUAUCCAGUAUAGUAGUUAUCAACGACAAAUCCAUGUAGAGGAUUUGAAUAGAAAAUGGAAGCAAGUCAUACUACGUCGCCAGAAACACCAUUGGAGCACUGUGAGUGGCUGAACAAGUUAUUAAUGGAAAUUUGGCCAAACUACAUUCACCCAAAGCUUUCCACAAGGUUCUCAUCUAUU